rnacentral:rRNA from 1 species
GAACAACUCUCAGCAACGGAUAUCUCGGCUCUGGCAUCGAUAAAAAACGCAGCGAAAUGCGAUAAGUGGUGUGAAUUGCAGGAUCCCGUGAACCAUCGAGUCUUUGAACGCAAGUUGCGCCCAAGGCCAUCAGGCCAAGGGCACGCCUGCCUGGGCAUUGCGAGUC